AGUUAAACAGUACGUGAAAUUGUUGAAAGGGAAACGAUUGAAGUCAGUCAUACCAACGGGAAAUCAACCUUUUGAGCUUGGUCUCGUGGGUUUUGAAGAGUUUCAAAGCCUUCGGAUUCGCGGGAUUGGGAUCUCUUGGUGUACUUUUUCGUACGGUUAGUCAACAUCGGUUUUGAAUGUCAUAAAAUGACUGGAGGAAUGUAGCUUCGAUCUCGUAUUGAAGUGUUAUAGCCUUUGGUAGAUGUGAUGUUUGAGACCGAGGAUUGCAACGGAUACCCUUUAGGGCUAUUCGUCUGAUCUCUGAUACGUUGCCCUGAUGUUGAAAGCUUGCUUAUGAUGUUAGGGUAUUACGGUCAAAAGGUUAGAACGAAUUACAUUCGUUAAGGAUGUUGACGUAAUGACUUUAAA
rnacentral:misc_RNA from 1 species